GUCUUUUUGAUUAUAAUUUAAAGUCUGGCCUGCCCAAUGAGUAAUUGAAUGGCUGCGGUAAUUUGACCGUACAAAGGUAGCAUAAUCAUUAGUUUUUUAAUUGAAAGCUGGAAUGAAAGGUUGGACGAGAAAGUAGCUGUCUCAAUUUAAUUUUAAUAGAAUUUUAUUUGUAAGUAAAAAAGCUUAUAUAAGUUUAAAAGACGAGAAGACCCUAUAGAAUUUUAUAUUAGUAUAUAAUGAUUUGUUUUAGUAUUUUAGUUGAGUUUUUAUAUAAUAGUAUUUUGUUGGGGUGAUGGGAAAAUUAGAUUAACUUUUUUUGUGCAGUAAUCAUUAAUAUAUGAUUGAUUGAUCCAUUAAUUAUGAUUAUAAGAUUAAAUUACCUUAGGGAUAACAGCGUAAUUUUUUUUUAGAGUUCUUAUCGAAAAAAGAGUUUGCGACCUCGAUGUUGGAUUAAAAUAAACUUUUGGUGUAGGGGCUGGAAAGUUAGGUCUGUUCGACCUUUAAAAUUUUACAUGAUCUGAGUU
rnacentral:rRNA from 1 species